ensembl:misc_RNA Y_RNA Y RNA
GGCUGGUCCGAUGGCAGUGGAUUAUCAGAACUUAUUAACAUUAGUGUCACUAAAGUUGGUAUACCACCCCCCCCACUGCUAAAUUUGACUGGCUUUAA